CAGAGUAGGUUCCGAUGCGUGAAGUGUUCGCCGGACGGGGAGUUGCCGGCGGGACGAAAAGGUGCGGGUUGCAGCGCCUUGCGGUAUCGGCGCCGCAUCCCGCUGC
rnacentral:ncRNA from 1 species